rnacentral:rRNA from 1 species
UACGAAGGGGGCGAGCGUUAUUCGGAAUCACUGGGCGUAAAGGGUGCGUAGGCUGUCUUGCAAGUUGGGAGUGAAAGCCCAGGGCUCAACCCUGGAACUGCUCUCAAAACUGCAAGACUCGAAUUCGGGAGAGGAUAGCGGAAUUCCUAGUGUAGUAGUGAAAUACGUAGAUAUUAGGAGGAACACCAGUGGCGAAGGCGGCUAUCUGGACCGACAUUGACGCUGAGGCACGAAAGCGUGGGGAUCAAACAGG